AUCCUCUCGAGGAUCCUAAGUCUGAUGAUGACUGGGUUUUCACAUUGCCGCGGGAGAGGUGCCUCCCACAGUCCUCGUUAGCACAUCAGUGCGUUCCCCGUCUCACA